CAAUAGGCGUCAUUAGACGUCAUUACAUAUAUUAAGAAAUAUAGAAU
rfam:Crassostrea gigas strain 05x7-T-G4-1.051#20 contig30117, whole genome shotgun sequence.